rnacentral:rRNA from 1 species
GAUGAACGCUGGCGGCGUGCCUAAUACAUGCAAGUCGAGCGAACGGACGAGAAGCUUGCUUCUCUGAUGUUAGCGGCGGACGGGUGAGUAACACGCGGAUAACCUACCUAUAAGACUGGGAUAACUUCGGGAAACCGGAGCUAAUACCGGAUGAUAUUUUGAACCGCAUGGUUCAAAAGUGAAAGACGGUCUUGCUGUCACUUAUAGAUGGAUCCGCGCUGCAUUAGCUAGUUGGUAAGGUAACGGCUUACCAAGGCAACGAUGCAUAGCCGACCUGAGAGGGUGAUCGGCCACACUGGAACUGAGACACGGUCCAGACUCCUACGGGAGGCAGCAGUAGGGAAUCUUCCGCAAUGGGCGAAAGCCUGACGGAGCAACGCCGCGUGAGUGAUGAAGGUCUUCGGAUCGUAAAACUCUGUUAUUAGGGAAGAACAUAUGUGUAAGUAACUGUGCACAUCUUGACGGUACCUAAUCAGAAAGCCACGGCUAACUACGUGCCAGCAGCCGCGGUAAUACGUAGGUGGCAAGCGUUAUCCGGAAUUAUUGGGCGUAAAGCGCGCGUAGGCGGUUUUUUAAGUCUGAUGUGAAAGCCCACGGCUCAACCGUGGAGGGUCAUUGGAAACUGGAAAACUUGAGUGCAGAAGAGGAAAGUGGAAUUCCAUGUGUAGCGGUGAAAUGCGCAGAGAUAUGGAGGAACACCAGUGGCGAAGGCGACUUUCUGGUCUGUAACUGACGCUGAUGUGCGAAAGCGUGGGGAUCAAACAGGAUUAGAUACCCUGGUAGUCCACGCCGUAAACGAUGAGUGCUAAGUGUUAGGGGGUUUCCGCCCCUUAGUGCUGCAGCUAACGCAUUAAGCACUCCGCCUGGGGAGUACGACCGCAAGGUUGAAACUCAAAGGAAUUGACGGGGACCCGCACAAGCGGUGGAGCAUGUGGUUUAAUUCGAAGCAACGCGAAGAACCUUACCAAAUCUUGACAUCCUUUGACAACUCUAGAGAUAGAGCCUUCCCCUUCGGGGGACAAAGUGACAGGUGGUGCAUGGUUGUCGUCAGCUCGUGUCGUGAGAUGUUGGGUUAAGUCCCGCAACGAGCGCAACCCUUAAGCUUAGUUGCCAUCAUUAAGUUGGGCACUCUAAGUUGACUGCCGGUGACAAACCGGAGGAAGGUGGGGAUGACGUCAAAUCAUCAUGCCCCUUAUGAUUUGGGCUACACACGUGCUACAAUGGACAAUACAAAGGGCAGCGAAACCGCGAGGUCAAGCAAAUCCCAUAAAGUUGUUCUCAGUUCGGAUUGUAGUCUGCAACUCGACUACAUGAAGCUGGAAUCGCUAGUAAUCGUAGAUCAGCAUGCUACGGUGAAUACGUUCCCGGGUCU